AAUUAAUAUAAUUGUUAAAGGUGAUGUUAAUAAUUAUUAAAUAAAAGAAAGAGGUUAUUGUCAAUGUAAAGUUGAUUGAUUAGAUAAAAUUACUAUAGUGAAGUAGUAUUGUGAAAGGGUGUUGAAAUAUUCAUUAUAAUAGGUGAAAGGAGAAUUAAUUAUUUGUAUCUUGUGUAUCAGAGUAUGUUGAAAUUAAUAAUAUAAUUUUUUUUCUCGAACUUGAAAGAUUUAAUUAAAUAAAUUGGUUAUUGUCUCACAAAUAUUAAUAAUAUUUAAUUGGCAAUGAAAUGUUAUUCGUUUUUAAGGAUAUCUAGUUUCUUAAAAAAUAAAUUUAAUUUAGGAUUUCUCUUUUGAUAUUUUUAUAGUUAAAUAGUCAUUAGAGAAAUCUAAUUUUGAAGGGGAAAAUCUCUUCAGAAGAGUUUCUAUAAUAGAAGAAAUGUAAGAUAGAAAGAAUGUUAAAUUUAGAAUUUGUUAUUAAUUAAAGUAUGUUAAAAUUUAUCUUUUUAUUUAGUUGAUUUUAUUGAAUUUAGAUUUUUUAUUAAGAUAUAAAGGUUAAUUAUGUUAUUUUAGUACAUAUGAUUUAAUUAGUAAAGUGUAGAAGAAUUAAUUUAUUUUAAUUAGCGGCGAUGUUAUUUUGAGGAAUUAGGCAAAUAAUUUACCCGCCUGUUUAUUAAAAACAUGGUUUCUUGUAAAAGUUAAGAGAUUUAACCUGCCCUCUGAGAGUAUUGAAGGGCCGCAGUAUUUUGACUGUGCAAAGGUAGCAUAAUCAUUAGUCUUUUAAUUGAGGGCUUGUAUGAAUGGUUGGACGAGGUAGAAUCUAUCUUUGGAUAAUUAUGAUUGAAUUUAAAUUUUAAGUAAAAAUGCUUAAAUUAUAUUAAGGGACGAGAAGACCCUAUAGAGUUUAAUAAAUAGUUUUUAUAUCUAGUUUAUAAGAAUUUAUUUUUGAUUAGUAAACUAUUUAUUUGGUUGGGGUGAUUAAAAAAUAUAAAAAACUUUUUUUUGUAAUGAAUAUGAUAAAAAGAUUUAUGAUCCUAAAAUGGAGAUUUAAAGAUUAAAUUACCUUAGGGAUAACAGCAUAAUUCUCUUUGAGAGUUCAUAUUGAAAGGAGAGAUUAUGACCUCGAUGUUGGAUUAAGAUUAGUACUGGGUGUAGAUGUUCAAGUACUAGGUCUGUUCGACCUAUAAAUUCUUACAUGAUCUGAGUUUAAACCGGCGUGAGCCAGGUUGGUUUCUAUCUUUUAUUGAAUAAAAUACUUUAGUACGAGAGGACCAAGUCUUUAAAAUAAUUUUAUUUAAUGAAUUUUUUUAAUCAGUUUU
rnacentral:rRNA from 1 species